AUGCUUCUCCUAAAGACUAAGCCAUGCAUGCCUCCGAAUAGAAGAGUAAUCUCUCUGAAUCUGCGAACGGCUCCGCAAACCAGUUGUAAACUAUAGCAAGCACGUCUUAGUAUUGGCCGCAAGGCUGGUACUGGGGCAAUAUGGAUAACCAUGGUAAUUCUGAGGCUAAUACGAGAUCAUAAACCUGAGCGAGCCGGGAAACUGGGGAGCUAGGAAUGUGUGACCAAAACCGCAAAACAAGCCAUGAUUGGGUGCACGUUAAGACCGCCGUAAAAAACGACUGAGUGUCCCGUGUGCUUCGGCAGCAAGGUUCUCAGGCGGGUGGCUCUUGCUGUGUGCUUCUGACCUAUCAACUAGAUGGCAGCGUAAGGGACAUGCUAUGGUAACAACGGGUACAGAGGAUAAGGGUUCGAUCCUGGAGAGUGGGCCUGAGAGAUUGCUCACACUUCUAAGGAAGGCAGCAGGCGCGCAACGUUCCCAUUGGGCAAUGCCCGAGGGCGUUAGGGGACAUAUGAAUGCCUGCCUUAUGGUGGGCAAUUCAAAUGG
rnacentral:rRNA from 1 species